rnacentral:rRNA from 1 species
UAGGGAAUAUUAGUAAUGGGCGAAAGCCUGAACUAGCAACGCCGCGUGUGCGAAGAAGGCCUUCGGGUUGUAAAGCACUCUUUGAGAGGAUGAGGAAGGACGGUACUCUCAGAAUAAGUCUCGGCUAACUACGUGCCAGCAGCCGCGGUAACACGUAGGAGGCGAACGUUAUCCGGAUUUACUGGGCGUAAAGCGCGUGUAGGUGGUUUGGUAAGUAGGGCGUGAAAGCUCCUGGCUCAACUGGGAGAGGCCGUUCUAAACUGCCGAACUAGAGGAUGGUAGAGGGAGGUGGAAUUCCGGGUGUAGCGGUGGAAUGCGCAGAUAUCCGGAGGAACACCAGUGGCGAAAGCGGCCUCCUGGACCAUUCCUGACACUCAGACGCGAAAGCUAGGGCAGCAAACGGG